AACGAACGCUGGCGGCAUGCCUAACACAUGCAAGUCGAACGAGACCUUCGGGUCUAGUGGCGCACGGGUGCGUAACGCGUGGGAAUCUGCCCUUCGGUUGGGAAUAACUGAGAGAAAUUUCAGCUAAUACCUUAUAAUGUCUUCGGACCAAAGAUUUAUCGCCGAGGGAUGAGCCCGCGUAGGAUUAGGUAGUUCGUGGGGUAAUGGCCUACCAAGCCGACGAUCCUUAGCUGGUCUGAGAGGAUGAUCAGCCACACUGGGACUGAGACACGGCCCAGACUCCUACGGGAGGCAGCAGUGGGGAAUAUUGGACAAUGGGCGAAAGCCUGAUCCAGCAAUGCCGCGUGAGUGAUGAAGGCCUUAGGGUUGUAAAGCUCUUUUACCCGGGAUGAUAAUGACAGUACCGGGAGAAUAAGCUCCGGCUAACUCCGUG
rnacentral:rRNA from 1 species